GACAAUGCUUCAACCAACUGAGGCACCCAACCAGGUACUAUUCCAGGCACUUGAAAUAAAUCAGUGAGCAAAACUGAUCAAGAUUCUUGUCAUCAAAUCCACCAAGUUUAAAGCCAGAUAAGUCCAGCAGCAGCCCACUGGAAGAGGAAAAUGGUACAUCUGGGAUCAAGCCCAAGUAGCGCCAGAGGGCAUGUAUAAGCUAUUUGAACAGGUGUCCUUCUGAUUUAUCAGCCUGCUCCUUCUUCCUUUAUGCUUCAUAAUGUAUAAAGCUCUGGCCUAUCUAAGUCCCAUCUUGGCAUCUGCUUCUUGGAGGACUGUUACCAACAUCUGAUAUUUAAAGCCAUAAGACGGGGUGACAUUGCCAAGGUUGUGAGUGCAGAUGGAAAUUAGAAGUGAACUGAGCUCCAGGAUUCUCCAACAUUCAGAGUGAAAGAGAGAGAAAGAAUUAACAACAGAGAUGGACAAGGGCCAUCUGGUGAAGUAGGAGGAAAACCAAGAGAAUGUGGUAUCCUUGAAACCAAGGAAAAAAGGUAUACCC